UGGAGAAGGAAAGAAAGGCAGUGAAUUUGGGGAAAUGGGUGUGGAGCACUGAAGUGAGACAAAGAGGGGCUCGAAUCUCCUUUAUCAUACAUUCAACUAGAAUAAAGCGGAAAAAAACUAUCGCAGAAUUUCCACAUAAACUUCACCCAUGGCACAAAAACUGCUUUCUGGAAAACCUUCCCAGGCCAGUUUCCACCAGUUCUACAGCAUGUUUGUGAAAGUGUUGACAAAAUGUAUAUAUGUAAACUUAUCUAACUCCCCUCACCGCAGUCUCUUGAUAUUUAACACAUGACAGCAGAAGACUGAGAGCUCAGAUCACUGUAAGUUGUGUCUAUAUUCUUUCAGAUUUACUUAUUGUGUUAUUUUCAUGAUGUCGUUGGCUUACAUUUACAUUUUUGUGGUUUGCAGAGUGUAUUUUGCUGAAUAGGGUCUAUAACAUGACAACGAUGAGUGAUAAGACACAUUUAUGGACACCAAUUAUGCAAACGAAGCUUCUGUGUUAUGAAAAAUCUCUAUAUUUCCAUUAUUUCAGUGUUCACCAUCAGACAAGGACAAUGGCAGCCAAACCAUCUCAUGACAUUGUAGGAGCGAUGGCAGGGAUAGUGAUCGGUGGAAGUCUGGCCUUUACAGUCUGUUGUUUUCAACUCUGGUUUUUAUUGGUGGAUCCAAAUCACAAAGUUUGAACAUCUGUGUCCAUUAGGCGCCUGGCCAGUUUUCCUGGUUCUCUUUCUUCUACUGUUUCCGUUUGUAGGAGCAGCUGUAGGGUUUGUCAUUGGAUUGGACGCCGCACACGAAGCUCUUUCGGUGUAUGAUGCCUUGAUCAGGACAAUCGUUUGCAACUUUGAGAUGGCAAUACAUUUGAUUGAGAAUGUUCACCAUGUAAAAGCAGAUAAAUAUGUUAAAUUACGCAGACCAAAUGAAUCAAAAAUAUUUGUACGACCAAAAGUAUCAAAAGUCAUUGAGCUGUAGUCUGUAAUUUACAGUACAAACCUUAUGGUGAUCAACAGGAAAAUAUGAUUCAAUAAUGCGAAUAGAGUUCAUAGAGUUCAAGAAAAUAGUGUCUUUGUUAAUUCAGUUCCGUUGUAAAGAUCAUCAUUUAAUUAUUAUUUUAAUUUGGCUAUAAAGCAGUUCUGGAGAAAACAGUGAUGUCUGAGUUUGAGUUUAUUAGACAUAAAA